CAGCACCUCAAGUGGUCAGGAUGAUUAUUGGGCCUAAAGCAUCCGUAGCCGGCUCUGUAAGUUUUCGGUUAAAUCUGUACGCUCAACGUACAGGCUGCCGGGAAUACUGCAGAGCUAGGGAGUGGGAGAGGUAGACGGUACUCGGUAGGAAGGGGUAAAAUCCUUUGAUCUAUUGAUGACCACCUGUGGCGAAGGCGGUCUACCAGAACACGUCCGACGGUGAGGGAUGAAAGCUGAGGGAGCAAACCGGAUUAGAGACCCGAGUAGUCC
rnacentral:rRNA from 1 species